UACGGGGGGGGCAAGCGUUGUUCGGAAUUACUGGGCGUAAAGGGCUCGUAGGCGGCCAACUAAGUCAGACGUGAAAUCCCUCGGCUUAACCGGGGAACUGCGUCUGAUACUGGAUGGCUUGAGAUUGGGAGAGGGAUGCGGAAUUCCAGGUGUAGCGGUGAAAUGCGUAGAUAUCUGGAGGAACACCGGUGGCGAAGGCAGGUCUCUGGGCCACUACUGACGCUGAGAAGCGAAAGCGUGGGGAGCGAACAGG
rnacentral:rRNA from 1 species